CGAACGAGACGAUUUAAGCUUGCUUAGAGUGAGUCGAGUGGCAAACGGGUAGAGUAACGCGUAGACAACCUGCCGCAAAGAUGGGGACGAACAGUCCGAAAGGACUGCUAAUACCGAAUGUUGUCAAGUUUCCGCAUGGGAGCUUGAUUAAAGAUGGCCUCUACUUGUAAGCUAUCGCUUUGCGAUGGGUCUGCGUCUGAUUAGCUGGUUGGUGGGGUAACGGCCUACCAAGGCGACGAUCAGUAGCCGGUCUGAGAGGAUGAACGGCCACAUUGGAACUGAGACACGGUCCAGACUCCUACGGGAGGCAGCAGUGGGGAAUCUUCCGCAAUGGGCGAAAGCCUGACGGAGCAACGCCGCGUGAGUGAAGAAGGGGUUUUCCGGCUCGUAAAGCUCUGUUGACGGGGACGAAUGUGCGAGAUGCGAAUAGUUUCUUGCAAUGACGGUACCCGUCGAGGAAGCCACGGCUAACUACGUGCCAGCAGCCGC
rnacentral:rRNA from 1 species